rnacentral:rRNA from 1 species
AGUCGAACGAAAAGAGGGAAAGAGCUUGCUCUUUCCAGAAUUGAGUGGCAAACGGGUGAGUAACACGUAAACAACCUGCCUUCAGGAUGGGGACAACAGACGGAAACGACUGCUAAUACCGAAUAAGUUCCAAGAGCCGCAUGGCCCAUGGAAGAAAAGGUGGCCUCUACCUGUAAGCUAUCGCCUGAAGAGGGGUUUGCGUCUGAUUAGCUGGUUGGAGGGGUAACGGCCCACCAAGGCGACGAUCAGUAGCCGGUCUGAGAGGAUGAACGGCCACACUGGAACUGAGACACGGUCCAGACUCCUACGGGAGGCAGCAGUGGGGAAUCUUCCGCAAUGGGCGAAAGCCUGACGGAGCAACGCCGCGUGAGUGAUGACGGCCUUCGGGUUGUAAAACUCUGUGAUCCGGGACGAAAAGGCAGAGUGCGAAGAACAAACUGCAUUGACGGUACCGGAAAAGCAAGCCACGGCUAACUACGUGCCAGCAGCCGCGGUAAUACGUAGGUGGCAAGCGUUGUCCGGAAUUAUUGGGCGUAAAGCGCGCGCAGGCGGCUUCCCAAGUCCCUCUUAAAAGUGCGGGGCUUAACCCCGUGAUGGGAAGGAAACUGGGAAGCUGGAGUAUCGGAGAGGAAAGUGGAAUUCCUAGUGUAGCGGUGAAAUGCGUAGAGAUUAGGAAGAACACCGGUGGCGAAGGCGACUUUCUGGACGAAGACUGACGCUG